UCUCUUAAUUUUGUUGUUUUUAUUCCAAACUAUCUAGGGUUGCUAAAAGGCCUAUAUAUUUACAGGCUGAAAUUCGUGUGAAAAAUAUGACUAAAACAUCCUUAGAGUAAUCAAAGUUAGACUGGAAAAAGAUAACAGAGUUUAACUAAAAGAAGAAAAACCUAGUUGAGUAGGGAACACGUCACCACAUCGUGUUCGGCUUGUCGGGACAUCAUGCAUUGUGUCGUUGAGAUGUCGGGUUCUUCUCGUCAGAACAUUGUGUGUCGCGUCGUCAGAAUGUUAGCUCUUCCUUAUCACGACAUCGACUCUGUUUCAUCUGAAAUAUGAGAUACACUCCACAUAAUUAAUAAAGUCAAAUUCGAAUAUAUAUAUAUUAUAAAAUAAUAGGUGAAAGCAUUAUAAGAGGUGUCAGGAAUUGUUACGUAUGAAUGAGAUUAAUUAAAUGAUAUAAGAGGCGGCUAGAAAUUUAAUUUAUUGUUCUGGUCGCAUUUUAGGGUGACAAAUUAACUUAUUAUUUUGGUUUAGAAGAAAAAUUCAUACUAAGUUUUAAGUUAAGUCUUUUAAAUUUAAGAAUUAUGAUUUUUUGAAUAUUAUUUUUGAAUUUGAAUUGGAUUAUUUUAUGUGAUUGAUUUUUUAUUAUCGAAUGCAACAUAGAUUCUAAUUAGUUUGUUGGGAUUUGUGCGAAUUAUAUAACCAACACGAACCAAAAUCGAGAAAAUUAGCCACAAACAUUUAUAUGAAAAAAUCCUUUCAAAGAGAAUAAAAAAUCAUGGACAAAGAAAAACUUCACUAAAAAGCAGCAAAAAUUGAAAGGGGCGUACAAGAUGGAGAAACAAACAAACCUCGAACCUGAAAUACAAAGUUUUCCUGAAAUUCUCACAAACUC
rnacentral:lncRNA from 1 species